CCCAGGGAAUAAAAGAACAGGAGCCAAUCUCUUGGGACUCUGACCCGCCUUGAUUGGUGUCCAGUUUUCCACCUUAGCCUGACUCGGAGGACAAGGCCCAAUCGGGAGCCUCUGGCAGCCUCUGUGGAUUUCCAUGCCAGAGCCCUAGAGCCUCAGCCAACUCGUUUGAUACCAAAGGCAGGUGCUAGUGCAGCAAUCUUUACAAUUUCUAAUUGCUGGUAAAGAAAACAGCUCAAAGUUGGGAUACAGGGUACAAAGGGGCACAAUAACAGAGGGAGACAAGAUGGGAAGUCAGGUGUGUCUUUAUUCGCGGGAGACGGACGGCCCAAGUCCUUUCUGGUUUUUCUCCUGGGACUCCUACUCGUCCCUCAGAAAGAAGAGAGAAGAGGAGAGACUCUACAACAGUGACCUCAUGGCGCUGGAGGAAAAUGCAGACUCUCAGCACGGGGUCUCCAAAAAACAGACAUUCUCAUCGUCACGGGCACAACGUCGUGAACGUGUGCAGAGGACGGCAUUGCCCACGAUGUAGAGAUCAUUUGGUUGUAAUUGUCGAUUUCACUACACGAGCAGAUGAUACUCAAUGAAAAUUAAGCUAUGAAGAUUUUGUUUUUCUAUGGAAUUAAAGUUUACAUUAAGUAUGAAUGUACAUAAUAAGGUUUAUAAACA
rnacentral:lncRNA from 1 species